rnacentral:rRNA from 1 species
GCUCGAGGCUUCGGCCAAGAGCAUGUCUGCCUCAGCGUCGGGUUAAUACUCGCUCCCAAUCUCUCUCUCUAGGGAUUGGGAACGGAACUGGCUUUCCCGGCUUGGUUCAUUCUAAGCCGGGUCUGCUGAAGUGCAGAGGUUGAUGCAUGGACCCGCUA